rnacentral:sRNA from 1 species
GGGUUAUAUGCCUUUAUUGUCAAACUCUGCUUUUUGUUGGUCCAUUGCGAAACGUACUGAUUUACCAGCAAACAUACUGACAAGCCCGAACGAUGUUCGGGCUUUUUUUUUAUUU